rnacentral:rRNA from 1 species
CUACGGGUCGCUGCAGGGACGAAACCUUCACAAUGCCUGAAAGGGUGAUGAGGGAAGUCUGAGUGACUUGGUACUGCCAAGUCUUUUGUUUACUGUAGAUAGGUAAGCGAAUAAGCAGUGGGCAAUACGGUUGCCAGCCGCCGCGGUAAUAACCGAGCUGCGAGUGGUAAUCUCGUUUAUUGGGUCUAAAGCGUUCGUAGCUGGUUUGAUAAGUUUCUGAUGAAAUUGAUUAGUAAACUAGUCAGCUUGUUAGAAAUACUAUCAGACUAGGGACCGGGAGACGUUAGGGGUACUCUUGGGGUAAGGGUAAAAUCUUUUAAUCCUAAGAAGACCACCUGUGGCGAAGGCGCCUAACGAGAACGGGUCCGACAGUGAGGGACGAAAGCUAGGGGAGCGACCGGGAUUAGAUACCCCCGUAGUC